UUGUCAGAUUUUGGCUUGGGAUUCCCUGAAGUUAUCAAAUCUCAGUUUAUGUAUUUGUUUCUUAUAACUUUCAGUUUUGACACAUUGAUCAUCAUUAUGAAACCAGCCCGAGGGUCAGGAAUGGGCUUCCACCUGGGGCCCCAGAGGAGCUGCAGAGAGGAAGACACAUAAGAGAUCUCAAAAGUCUAGGCCCAGUGUUGAAUGCUCACAUCCGGAGCAGUCAAAGAAAAACUGCGGAGCAGCUCAUGAAGAUAGUACCCAAUCCCUCAGCAGUGGUCAAAGCCCUUCAGACAGCUCCAUUAGUUGGAGAUGUGAGGGCGUUGCUGGAACUUGCACACAAACAGGUGGAUGCAGUACAGGCUGCAAAUAGU